AGAUUGUAUUUUCCGCUUUACGAGUUGUAAGUUUUUCCUCUGAUGCGGUGUGGCCUCUUCCAAAUAUGUGUCUUCUUCAUAUCCCCAAUACAAGUUCACUUUCUUUCCCUCCUAUGGCUUCACCGCCGACAAUUAACCUUAUCUGAGUAGUCUUCUCCAGCAUACCCAUCGGAGAUCCCUGCUAUUCUUAGAAUAUCACAGCUAACAGAACUUGAAGACGAUUGUUGCAAAAUAGGUCAAAUUAGGGUUUGUAUUUUUUUUUUGGAAAAAAUAGAGGUUAUGAGCACCUCCGUACAAUUUCCGGAAUAAAAAAACGUGACCACCAUCUUCAAUCAAACAAAGCACACGAUGACGACGAACAAAGAUUUAUUGCUGCUGAUUAAGCUUUUUGGAUGAAGAGAAAAGGUUGACUUUUUAGUCAAAAUAAAUGCCUUUGUAUUAGAAGUUUGAUAUGAAUCACAACAACAAAAUAUUAUGAAAAGUCUUGCAUUAUAGGCUCAUAAUCAAGAAGAUUGAUGUCUUCAGUUUUGUUUUAAGGGCUGAUUAGGCAAAUUUGAGUACAAGAAGGAGUUUGACUUCAAUGAAAGAAGAAUUUCUUAAGAAGUUGAGUGGUCAUACAAACCUUUAAUGUGAAAGUAUAAGCUAUAGUGAAUCCACAAGCAUUGUUGUGAUAAUGGACAAUCUAAAUCUUUACAUUGUCAUGAUUCUGUUUUCAAGAGGGUCUCUUGCUUAGAUAAAAUGUCUGGCACAUUACACUCAAUGGGAUACAAGAUAACGUAAAAGAUUUCACUUCAAAAAUGUUCCAAUAAUCUGGUAAAUGGAAGAGGCAAAACAACAAGAUCAGUGUCAUGUUUCAAUUGCAGUUUCAAGCUACCCAGGUCUAAUAUAAGUAUUCAGACUUCUUUAAAAAAAACAAUACCUUUAUAGCAUAAAUGGAACAGGAAAAAGUUUAGCAUAAACGGAGCUCUUAGAUGCUCAGGAGUGACAAGAUGAAUAAAGUGGUGAAGAGUUGCAAUAUGCACUUUCUAUAAUGAAGUUAAGAGACGGAGAGAUAUGUUGGUGGCUUGGAUGUUAGAAGUUCAUGAUUUUUCAAAUUGUUUCGAGCAACUAGAUUAGAUGUUGUUACAAUAAGGAGGAUGCAUUCGUAUAUGUUGCGUAGGGAUGAGCUUGGUACCGAUCAGUACCGGUAUCGAAAAUACCGGUACGGUACAGUUUGGUACCGGUAAAUACCCGUACAGGACCGGCACCGAAAACGUCAAAAGUUGGUAGCAAAUUGGUACCGAAAUAUAUUUUCGGUUCGAAAAAUUCGGUACCAGUACUCGGUACUGUUUGCUCAUCUCUUUGCGUGUUAAUUUGUAAGCCCCGGACGCAUCGCGGCAGGGAGGCUUCCUUCUAGUUUACUCAAAUAAGAAACAAUAUCUAAUGUUUCCAUCGGUGAUAUUUGCAUGAGUCCCGUAUAAAUGAAUUUUUUUUCCUAUUA